rnacentral:rRNA from 1 species
AUGCAUGAAGAGCAAGAUGAGAUGAUGGGUGAGAAAGGGUGUGAGAGCUGCAAGAAGUGGCAGGAGCACUACUACUGGGAGCACAUGGACGUGAGCAAGACCAAGUUCUUCAAGCUCAUGACACAAGAUUCCCAGCAGCGCUUUCGCAUACCGGACAAGUUUGCGAGCAGCUUCAUCAGGCAGACGCAGAGCUCGCAGGGAUUUGACCUGGAAGCACCAAGCGGCGAAACAUGGCAUGUGGGUGUUACCAAGGUUGCCAAUGACCUGUUCUUCAGUUCGGGAUGGGGAGAUUUUGUCAAGGCUCAUGAACUGCAGGAGAAUGACCUCCUGGUCUUCACAUUCAGCGGCAACUCCUCUUUUGAGGUCCUCAUCUUCGAUGCGACCGGUUGCGAGAAACUGUCUUCUCUCUUCGCUGGCGCUGGUAUGCACAAACAUUUUGAUGGUAUGGUGGGUCAACAGGUUGAGCAAUACUCUCCGAGUGAUGAUUCUGAUGAAGACGACGACAAUGAUGAUGAUGAUGACGAUGACGACGAUGAUACAAGUGUACCGUCUCAGUUGAUUGAAUCCCCUCACAAGGUUUCCACUUUAAGGAAAUUCAGUGGAAAGACCAAACCAAGGAAAGAGCUUCGUGAAUCACCAAACAGUAGCAGCUCAUGCGAUGUUAAGCAUGAGGAAACUGAGGAAGAGGAGAGUGAUGAUGACACAUAUGCUGACUUCGACUACUGCUACUCGAGGGCUGCGAAGCAACUACCCGACGACGAAAAAAGUGAAAUAAUCGGGCUGGCUUCGAUCCAACCGGGCAAUCCAGCAUUCAUGACAGUUCUGCUGAGGGCCCACCUGCAACACAAGAACAAUUUUCUGGUCAUCCCCAGUGAAUUUGUAGACGAACAUCUCCACAUGAGAUCACAUGAGGUUGUGCUCCUCAGGCCAAACAGAGAAGAGAGGUGGCAUGUCAGGUACUACCAGGGGAGCUCCAGCAGAGGCUUCAGGGGCCAACCUUGGGCCAAGUUCGUCCGUGAAAAUGAACUGCGCGAGGGGGAUGUCUGCGUCUUUGAGCUGAUCAAAGGCGCGAGGAAUGAGAAGAAGCUGGCGAGGACUACGAUGGCCAUCCAUGUCGCCAGGAGGAGGAAGUCCAACGGCCGGUUUGCCUUAGUGGACUAA